rnacentral:rRNA from 1 species
GAUGAACGCUAGCGACAGGCUUAACACAUGCAAGUCGAGGGGCAGCGGGGGUAGCAAUACCCGCCGGCGACCGGCGCACGGGUGAGUAACGCGUAUGCAACUUACCUAUCAGAGGGGGAUAACCCGGCGAAAGUCGGACUAAUACCGCAUGAAGCAGGGAUCCCGCACGGGAAUAUUUGCUAAAGAUUCAUCGCUGAUAGAUAGGCAUGCGUUCCAUUAGGCAGUUGGCGGGGUAACGGCCCACCAAACCGACGAUGGAUAGGGGUUCUGAGAGGAAGGUCCCCCACAUUGGUACUGAGACACGGACCAAACUCCUACGGGAGGCAGCAGUGAGGAAUAUUGGUCAAUGGCCGAGAGGCUGAACCAGCCAAGUCGCGUGAGGGAUGAAGGUUCUAUGGAUCGUAAACCUCUUUUAUAAGGGAAUAAAGUGCGGGACGUGUCCCGUUUUGUAUGUACCUUAUGAAUAAGGAUCGGCUAACUCCGUGCCAGCAGCCGCGGUAAUACGGAGGAUCCGAGCGUUAUCCGGAUUUAUUGGGUUUAAAGGGUGCGUAGGCGGCCUUUUAAGUCAGCGGUGAAAGUCUGUGGCUCAACCAUAGAAUUGCCGUUGAAACUGGGGGGCUUGAGUAUGUUUGAGGCAGGCGGAAUGCGUGGUGUAGUGGUGAAAUGCAUAGAUAUCACGCAGAACCCCGAUUGCGAAGGCAGCCUGCCAAGCCAUGACUGACGCUGAUGCACGAAAGCGUGGGGAUCAAACAGGAUUAGAUACCCUGGUAGUCCACGCAGUAAACGAUGAUCACUAGCUGUUUGCGAUACACUGUAAGCGGCACAGCGAAAGCGUUAAGUGAUCCACCUGGGGAGUACGCCGGCAACGGUGAAACUCAAAGGAAUUGACGGGGGCCCGCACAAGCGGAGGAACAUGUGGUUUAAUUCGAUGAUACGCGAGGAACCUUACCCGGGUUUGAACGCAUUCGGACCGAGGUGGAAACACCUUUUCUAGCAAUAGCCGUUUGCGAGGUGCUGCAUGGUUGUCGUCAGCUCGUGCCGUGAGGUGUCGGCUUAAGUGCCAUAACGAGCGCAACCCUUGCCACUAGUUACUAACAGGUAAAGCUGAGGACUCUGGUGGGACUGCCAGCGUAAGCUGCGAGGAAGGCGGGGAUGACGUCAAAUCAGCACGGCCCUUACAUCCGGGGCGACACACGUGUUACGAUGGCGUGGACAAAGGGAAGCCACCUGGCGACAGGGGAGCGAAUCCCCGAACCGCGUCUCGGUUCGGUAUCGGAGUCUGCGAACCCGACUCCGUGAAGCUGGAUUUCGCUAGUAAUCGCGCAUUCAGCCGUGGCGCGGUGAAUACGUUUCCCGGGGCCU